rnacentral:rRNA from 1 species
GAUGAACGCUGGCGGCGUGCUUAACACAUGCAAGUCGAACGAGAAGUGAAGACGGAAACCUUCGGGCGGAAGGCUUUAUUUCGAGUGGCGGACGGGUGAGUAACGCGUGGGUAACCUGCCUCAUACAGGGGGAUAACAGUUGGAAACGACUGUUAAUACCGCAUAAGACCACAGCACCGCAUGGUGCGGGGGUAAAAACUCCGGUGGUAUGAGAUGGACCCGCGUUCGAUUAGCCAGUUGGCGGGGUAACGGCCCACCAAAGCGACGAUCGAUAGCCGAUCUGAGAGGAUGACCGGUCACAUUGGGACUGAGACACGGCCCAAACUCCUACGGGAGGCAGCAGUGGGGAAUAUUGCACAAUGGGGGAAACCCUGAUGCAGCGACGCCGCGUGAGUGAAGAAGUAUUUCGGUAUGUAAAGCUCUAUCAGCAGGGAAGAAAAUGACGGUACCUGAGUAAGAAGCCCCGGCUAACUACGUG